rfam:Arabis alpina cultivar Pajares chromosome 8, whole genome shotgun sequence.
CUGCUAUGAUGAAAAAUACGUGUCCUGAGAUGAGGUUUGUUCUUCAUCGUUGACGGUAUAACACAACCCUCUAAGAAGUUCUGAGCUU